rnacentral:misc_RNA from 1 species
UGGCUCUCGCAUCGAUGAAGAACGCAGCGAAAUGCGAUAAGUAAUGUGAAUUGCAGAAUUCAGUGAAUCAUCGAAUCUUUGAACGCACCUUGCGCUCCAUGGUAUUCCGUGGAGUAUGCCUGUUCGAGUGUCACGUCAACACUCACCCUCGCGAUUGCAAAAUUGCUUGUGGUGGACUUGGACCGUGCCGUAGUCGGCUCGUCCUGAAAUGCAUUAGCUUGCGCUUUUAGAGUGCUGGGCACCGGUGUGAUAAUUAUCUGCGCCAACGCCUUACGCCUCUUCAGCGGCGCUGCUUACAGUCGUCCCGACGGACAAUUCUAUACCAAGCUUUGGCCUCGAAUCAGGUAGGACUACCCGCUGA